GAAAAUUAAACAAGUCAAUCAUCUGUGGAACAGCCAAUGAUUCCCAGUACCACCGAGUGGCAUUGGACAGUUGUACCGGGCGAUCAUGCAUUAGCCUACAAUGAAAGGGAGGACCGCAAGAUUCAAUAUCUGCAGGACAAGCUGUCUUCAAGGUCGUGUUCCGCACGUCCAGGAAGGGGAAUGCCCAACAAAGCCAUCAAAAUACACCCUACAUACGUCUGUGGAUGCCCUGCUAAGCUUGGUUUUGAGAAGGGGUUUGAGGACCCAUUGCCAUUGAUUAAGGAGGAUCCUUUCCCCACCGACCUGUCUUCCCAGUAAGAGGCAGCCCCAACGGAGGAAGUUGUUGCCCGCCAUGUCUCCCGCUUCAGUCAGGGGUGGCCGGAAUUCUACAUACUGUCCAGCCAGAUUAGGAAACUCCUGGCAUAUCCGGAGAACGACACACGACAGUAUGACUUUCAUGACAUUCUGUCCCAAGUAGCCUCGAAACCAGCUGACAAAGCGAUGAGGACAGAUACCUGUAACGCCUGUAUGGAGAGGAUAUAUGGCAAAUCCUGUUGAAACUGUGUAAAUACAGGGAUACUUCUGGCAAGUGUUUUUACAUUUGCAAAACAUUUAUUUUUAUUGAGGAAAACAUUAAUUUGUCAUGUCUUCAGUCAUUUAUGGUCAUAUGGUAUAAUACAACAUUUAUGUUUAGAUUUUAUUUCAGACAGCUCUAUCUAAUUUCAUGUAAUAAAAACAUACUUUUCUACUG
ensembl:lncRNA